rnacentral:rRNA from 1 species
GACGAACGCUGGCGGCGUGCUUAACACAUGCAAGUCGAACGGAAAGGCCCUGCUUUUGUGGGGUGCUCGAGUGGCGAACGGGUGAGUAACACGUGAGUAACCUGCCCUUGACUUUGGGAUAACUUCAGGAAACUGGGGCUAAUACCGGAUAGGAGCUCCUGCUGCAUGGUGGGGGUUGGAAAGUUCGGCGGUUGGGGAUGGACUCGCGGCUUAUCAGCUUGUUGGUGGGGGAGUGGCUUACCAAGGCUUUGACUGGUAGCCGGCCUGAGAGGGUGACCGGCCACAUUGGGACUGAGAUACGGCCCAGACUCCUACGGGAGGCAGCAGUGGGGAAUAUUGCACAAUGGGCGGAAGCCUGAUGCAGCAACGCCGCGUGCGGGAUGACGGCCUUCGGGUUGUAAACCGCUUUCGCCUGUGACGAAGCGUGAGUGACGGUAAUGGGUAAAGAAGCACCGGCUAACUACGUG